rnacentral:rRNA from 1 species
GUCUGUAUGAAGUUAUAUAGAGUCUGGCCUGCCCGUUGAAGUAGUUUGAAAGGCCGCGGUAUAUUAACUGUGCAAAGGUAGCAUAAUCAUUAGCUUUUUAAUUGAAGGCUUGUAUGAAGGGUCUGACAAAGAAAAAGCUGUCUUUAAUUUUAUUUUUGAAUUUAACUUUUAAGUGAAAAGGCUUAAAUGAAUUUAAGGGACGAUAAGACCCUAUAAAUCUUUAUAUUAUAUUAUUAUCUUGAAUUUUAAUAAUUUGUCUAGAUUGACAAGUAAAAUAAUAAAUAUUUUGUUGGGGUGACAAGAAUAUAAAAAAACUGUUCUUAAAUAAAACAAAGUUAUUUGUUUAAAAUUUUAUAGAUCCUUUUUAAAGAUUAAGAGAUUAAGUUACUUUAGGGAUAACAGCGUUAUUUUUUUUUGAGAGUCCUUAUCGAAAAAAAAGUUUGCGACCUCGAUGUUGAAUUAAAAUUUCUCUACGGUGAAGAAGUUGUAGAAGAAAGUCUGUUCGACUUUUGAAAUUUU